rnacentral:rRNA from 2 species
UCCAGCAAUGCCGCGUGUGUGAAGAAGGCCUUCGGGUUGUAAAGCACUUUUGUCCGGAAAGAAAACCAUCGCCCUAAUAUGGUGGUGGGAUGACGGUACCGGAAGAAUAAGCACCGGCUAACUACGUGCCAGCAGCCGCGGUAAUACGUAGGGUGCGAGCGUUAAUCGGAAUUACUGGGCGUAAAGCGUGCGCAGGCGGUCUGUUAAGACCGAUGUGAAAUCCCCGGGCUUAACCUGGGAACUGCAUUGGUGACUGGCAGGCUUUGAGUGUGGCAGAGGGGGGUAGAAUUCCACGUGUAGCAGUGAAAUGCGUAGAGAUGUGGAGGAAUACCGAUGGCGAAGGCAGCCCCCUGGGCCAACACUGACGCUCAUGCACGAAAGCGUGGGGAGCAAACAGGAUUAGAUACCCUGGUAGUCCACGCCCUAAACGAUGUCAACUAGUUGUUGGGGAUUCAUUUCCUUAGUAACGUAGCUAACGCGUGAAGUUGACCGCCUGGGGAGUACGGUCGCAAGAUUAAAACUCAAAGGAAUUGACGGGGACCCGCACAAGCGGUGGAUGAUGUGGAUUAAUUCGAUGCAACGCGAAAAACCUUACCUACCCUUGACAUGGUCGGAAUCCCGCUGAGA